GGUGUCCUACGGGGCGCAGCAGUGAGGAAUAUUGGUCAAUGGCCGCAGGGCUGAACCAGCCAAGUCGCGUGAGGGAUGACGGUCCUAUGGAUUGUAAACCUCUUUUGUCAGGGAGCAAAGGGCGCCACGUGUGGCGCUUUGCGAGUACCUGAAGAAAAAGCAUCGGCUAACUCCGUGCCAGCAGCCGCGGUAAUACGGAGGAUGCGAGCGUUAUCCGGAUUUAUUGGGUUUAAAGGAUGCGCAGGCGGAAUGCCAAGUCAGCGGUAAAAUUUAGGGGCUCAACC
rnacentral:rRNA from 1 species